CCUACGGGAGGCAGCAGUGGGGAAUAUUGGGCAAUGGGCGCAAGCCUGACCCAGCAACGCCGCGUGAAGGAAGAAGGCCCUCGGGUUGUAAACUUCUUUUAUCAAGGACGAAACAAAUGAAGGUACUUGCUGAAUAAGCCACGGCUAACAACGUGCCAGCGGCCGCGGUAAUACGUAGAAGGAAAGCGUUAUCCGGAUUUACUGGGGGUAAAGGGCGAGGAGGCGGGACUGCAAGGCAGAUGUGAAAACCAUGGGAUCAACCCAUGGCCUGCAUGUGAAACUGUAGUUCUUGAGUGUUGGAGAGGCAGGCGGAAUUCCGUGUGUAGCGGUGAAAUGCGUAGAUAUACGGAGGAACACCAGUGGCGAAGGCGGCCUGCUGGACAAUAACUGACGCUGAGGCGCGAAAGCGUGGGGAGCAAACAGGAUUAGAUACCCGAGUAGUC
rnacentral:rRNA from 1 species